rnacentral:rRNA from 1 species
CCUACGGGGAGCAGCAGUGGGGAAUAUUGGACAAUGGGCGAAAGCCUGAUGCAGCCAUGCCGCGUGUGUGAAGAAGGCCUUCGGGUUGUAAAGCACUUUCAGUGGGGAAGAAAGCCUUGGGGCUAAUACCCUCGAGGAAGGACAUCACUCACAGAAGAAGCACCGGCUAACUCCGUGCCAGCAGCCGCGGUAAUACGGAGGGUGCGAGCGUUAAUCGGAAUUACUGGGCGUAAAGCGCGCGUAGGCGGUCUGAUAAGCCGGUUGUGAAAGCCCCGGGCUCAACCUGGGAACGGCAUCCGGAACUGUCAGGCUAGAGUGCAGGAGAGGAAGGUAGAAUUCCCGGUGUAGCGGUGAAAUGCGUAGAGAUCGGGAGGAAUACCAGUGGCGAAGGCGGCCUUCUGGACUGACACUGACGCUGAGGUGCGAAAGCGUGAGUAGCAAACAGGAUUAGAUACCCCAGUAGUC